CAUUGAUAAGUUGAACGCAUAUUGCACGCCGUGGGAACCUACCAUGACGUACCCAUACUUGAGC
rnacentral:rRNA from 1 species